GUUAUAGUGAUUCGCUCGACCGUAACGGAAAGACAACCAUGAAGACCGUAGUGUUCUCCCUGUUGGCCGUUUUCAUUGCUCUGGCCGCAGCCGAUUAUCAUCAUCACGGAAAACACCAUGCCACGAUUCUACCCGGCCCAGCGGAAAUUCUGACAUACCCGGGAAAGGUUCCUCUUCCACCAUGUGGCACCGUGUACCUGUUGACCUGUAACAAGAACCAGCAGAAAGUGCCAUGCUUAGUCCCAGCUCCAGCAGCAGCUCCGUAUCAUCCCGCUCCUGCUCCGGCCUAUCAAAAACCAGAACCAGCUCCAGCUUAUCAUGCUCCACCGCCUCCACCACCCCCACCGGCAAAGUACUGAAAGGAACCAUAUAUGAUACUCAACCAUUUGACUGAUGAUGGACACGAUUGGAAACACGACUCGGAACUACGGCGCUGGGGGAAUUUCCUCUGGCGAUAUUGCCAUAUCUUUGGUUAAAACUAUGCGUCAAUAA
rnacentral:lncRNA from 1 species